GGCACAGCAAUCUCUGGGCUCAUUGACUGUGGGGCCUGAGGGGGUUUGUGGUAAAAGUCUAGGCACGUAUUAGCUCUGCAGUGCUGGCUGACCCAGACUGGUCCCUGGCCACAUAACCACAGUCUCAUGCCUACUCAAAGGGCCUCUGUGUGGGAAUGUGCCGCCACGGAGCCUGGCCCCUCUGGAACAUCAUCCGUGGGAUAUGCAGAGCUGGCCAGUUGACGGGCAGAUGUGAGCUGCGUGUCUGUGCGUCUGUUUGAUCAAGGGCAAAGUUGUGACACACACAGCAGCGGACAGGAUGAAGCACGCGUUUGAGCUAAAUUCACACAGAAUUUGGUAACACAGCAGCUUCCUGCAGUGUUGUGCGGAGGUUUGGCUGUCUUGAUCACUGCUGAG